rnacentral:rRNA from 1 species
GUCGAGCGAAGCGUAUUAGCGGAAGUUUUCGGAUGGAAGCGGAUAUGACUUAGCGGCGGACGGGUGAGUAACGCGUGGAUAACCUGCCUCAUACAGGGGGAUAACAGUUAGAAAUGACUGCUAAUACCGCAUAAGCGCACAGGACCGCAUGGUCCGGUGUGAAAAACUCCGGUGGUAUGGGAUGGAUCCGCGUCUGAUUAGCUGGUUGGUGAGGUAACGGCCCACCAAGGCGACGAUCAGUAGCCGACCUGAGAGGGUGGCCGGCCACAUUGGGACUGAGACACGGCCCAAACUCCUACGGGGGCAGCAGUGAGGAAUAUUGGUCAAUGGACGCAAGUCUGAACCAGCCAAGUAGCGUGCAGGAUGACGGCCCUCCGGGUUGUAAACUGCUUUUAGUUGGGAAUAAAAGGGGGCUCGUGAGCCCCGUAUUGUAUGUACCAUCAGAAAAAGGACCGGCUAAUUCCGUGCCAGCAGCCGCGGUAAUACGGAAGGUCCGGGCGUUAUCCGGAUUUAUUGGGUUUAAAGGGUGCGCAGGCGGAAGAUCAAGUCAGCGGUAAAAUUGAGAGGCUCAACCUCUUCGAGCCGUUGAAACUGGUUUUCUUGAGUGAGCGAGAAGUAUGCGGAAUGCGUGGUGUAGCGGUGAAAUGCAUAGAUAUCACGCAGAACUCCGAUUGCGAAGGCAGCAUACCGGCGCUCAACUGACGCUCAUGCACGAAAGUGUGGGUAUCGAACAGGAUUAGAUACCCUGGUAGUCCACACAGUAAACGAUGAAUACUAAUUGUU